AUGCCAGAGGACCAGAAAUGGCUCAGGCUGCUGGUUAUUGUCCUCCAUCGCCUCGAGAAACCAAUGCUGGUGAAAUCUACAUUGUGGAGCUGGUUAAAGAAGAUGGAACCCUUGGAUUCAGCGUGACAGGUGGCAUUAACACAAGUGUCCC